rfam:Apaloderma vittatum contig65761, whole genome shotgun sequence.
GGCCGUUUAGCUCAGUCGGUUAGAGCGUGGUGCUGAGAACACCAAGGCCGCGGGUUCAAUCCCCGCUCGGACCC